rnacentral:rRNA from 1 species
GACGUAGGGCGCGAGCGUUGUCCGGAUUUAUUGGGCGUAAAGAGCUCGUAGGCGGCUUGUCGCGUCGACUGUGAAAACCCGCGGCUCAACUGCGGGCCUGCAGCCGAUACGGGCAGGCUAGAGUUCGGUAGGGGAGACUGGAAUUCCCAGUGUAGCGGUGAAAUGCGUAGAUAUUGGGAAGAACACCUGAGGCGAAGGCGGGUUGCUGGGCCGACACUGACGCUGAGGCGCGAAAGCCAGGGGAGCGAACGGG